AAUUCACCAGAGAUCAGUGGAAGUGGCUCGCCAGCGCCUGGAGGAAUACCAGCGAGCUCUGCAAAUUCGUUACAAUAUGACCGCCACAACGUUGCUGCCUCCAGGCCUCAUUCACCCACCUCUGCACAGUACUCGACCUGUACAUCUUCCAACUUCUCUGCAACUCCCUACAACUCCCGCAGUGCCUGCAUACAACCAUGCCAAACCACAAACCACUGAAGUUCCCACAAGAGAGGCUUCACCUCCGCAUCUUCCUGGCUCCAGUUUGAGGGUUCGCUCUAGAUUGCUGCCGGAUGAAGUGGAAUCUAUUUCGGACAGUUCCAGGAACCAGAGACCAGAUGUCACUCCCUGGCUGACCGAUAACAUAAUGGAGAGAGUAACAAAGCACCUUCCAGAAGGCGUGAGACCCUUCCUGGCCACCAAAGACCCAGUGCCUUACAAACAGUUCACAACACAUCACCCAACAAGCAUCCCACUCCAGCCAACCUCUGAUCCCAUCCAAGUCAUUAGCCCGAGAAUAACAGAUGGUGCACCUCUGGCUCCGGGUCACGCAGCAGUCAGGCCUGGGAUCCUGCCACAGGGCUCUUUGCAGACUGAGUCCCUGAGAUCCAGAGAGGACGACAUGGAGAGGCAGAGACGGGAGCUGCAGGAGGUUCAGCGACGGGAGGUUCAGCGACGGGAGCUGCAGGAGGUUCAGCGACGGGAGGCUGCAGGAGGUUCAGCGACGGGAGCUGCAGGAGGUUCAGCGACGGGAGCUGCAGGAGGUUCAGCGACGGGAGCUGCAGGAGGUUCAGAGACGGGAGCUGCAGGAGGUUCAGCGACGGGAGCUUCAGGAGGUUCAGCGACGGGAGCUUCAGGAGGUUCAGAGACGGGAGCUUCAGGAGGUUAAGAGACGGGUGCUGGAGCAGAGGGAGGCAGUGGUGCUGCAGCAGAGGCAACAAGAAGAGGAGAGAAAGAGACAGGAAGUGGAGAUGGAGCAGAUGAGGCGACAAAAGGAGGCUUUGCAGGCUCUGAUUCAUACUGAUGCACAACCACAGCCAGUUCCAGAGGCUGCCAGUGAAGUGUUGGUUUCAGACAACAUCGGUCAGAGCCGCCUCAAAUUACUUGCGUCCCUGCUGAAAGCUAUUGAGGAGACUAAUGGAGGAACUUUAUCACACCUAGAAGACCCUGAGGAGAACGAUGGCUCCCCUCAACCAGCGUCUAACAGUGGUGAAACAGAUCCGAUCUCUCAGAGCAUUGUUCCUGCUGGACCUUCCCCAUCGUUUGUCCUCCCUUCAGCACUCCUUCAUCCUCCUCGAGCAGGAAAGCCUCCGGUGACCCGUGUCAGGCUGGGCGUCAUGGAGCUGAUGACUGCACAACAUGAGCUCAGUGCUAUUCAAGAGGUGGAGUCGCCAGGCAACACCAGCCAAGUCACAGGCCUGGAUGAUACUAUGAAGGUUCCUUCACAUACUGCGGACUGGGAUCCACAGGAGGAAUCUGAAUCGUCUGUGGCCUCUGAUGCAACUCUGCAGACCCCCUCUUGGUCCAGCAGUGGGCAGCGAACUGUUGAAAGACUAACUGACCACGAGAGACGGCUGAUGGGGGCUGGAACAUCUCCAGAGUCCUCACAGUCUGAUUCAGUCCUGAGGAUAAUGUCACCGCUUUCCUCUGACUCUGGGAGAGGAGCUGACUACUCUGGUCCUGCAAUCACAAGCUACAGAUCCCCCACAGAGUCUGCAUGUAGGCCUCCUGAUUUUGACUGUCUCUCCUCCACCACCAUCUCCACGGGCAGCUACGUCACCACUGAUCCUGAGCAGAAUGUAAACACAGAUAAAUCUCCGGACCUCAGACGUUGUGUGGAACAAGGACAAGGAGCAGAUUGUCUCAGUGUCUCCUCUCCGUCCAGUCAAAGCUCCAGUAUUAAGGACGGCUCUGGCUGUCUGUCGGGUACGGCUGUAGACGAUCUGUUUAACGACAGCAGCAUCCAGCGCAUUAUAGACAAAUACACAAAGGAGCUUAACAUCUCCCUCAGCACCACGGGGAAAACCACAGACAGUGAAGGCUCAUAUGUGGAUGAACCUGACCCUUCAGUUCCUCAGCAGUCUUUGGUUCGAGCCUCGGAGAGGAGAGCGGACAAUGAAAGCUCUACAGCUCGUCACUCUCUUCCCUCAGACCCAGCAGGGACACAGAGGAGAGGCCUGGGAUGGGACAAUACAGUGAAUCCAAUCCUGGAGCACUUCUCAGGUGAGGACCCAUCCCUGGCUGAGGACUCUUUCAGACCCCUGAUUGGCCAGCUGGCAGACCAGUCCUCCUGUUUGGCUGCUGACCAUCGGGACUUGGCCAUGGAGCAGCUGGUUGGUCAACCAUCAGCGCACUCGUCCCUGAUUGGUCAGUUACCAGGUCUGCCGGUUUCAGUGAGCUUGGAUCAAGGUGGAUGGGAUUCCACUCUGAGUCGGAUGAUCGGUCGACUCUCCCAUCAGUCCAGCUCACACUGGCUGAGUGGCGGACACGACUUUUAUGCGGGUCAGCUGGUGGCUCAGAUGGCGUCGGAGCCGUCGACCACGUGGUUGGAGGAAGGUCCAGAGGGGAGCCGGAUGAGACCGCUGGUUGGGGAGCUGGAUGAGUCUGCUGGCCAGCACAGUGGAAGCUCAGGUGAAAGAACCCACGUGAAUCUUGGUGUUUCGACUGAGGCCAGCGUGCCGUCGUACCCAGCGUUGCCUCCUGAAGCCUCGUCACACAGUUCUUCUGUCCCGGGUGUGAAUCCACACGCACAAGACCAGACACUGCAGAGCCAAACCAGUCUAAUGGACCUGGGCCCCGAGAGGACUGAAGUGUUUCCAAGCUCGGACUCAUUCCACCCGUUAGUGGCUGAAGUCACCCACAACGAUACAGCAGACUCCUGCGUGACCUUUCACCUGCCCGUACACGAUGUGCCAAACUCUCCCGAAGGACAGUCGGCCAGCUGGGAACGCAGCGUCUCCACAACUUCUGAAGAGUUUGAAACCCACGACGGUCCUUCUGUUGAGUCUGAACCAUCUCCCGAGCGACUUAGAACAGAGGAGCCGUCCAGCUGCGUGACUGCUUCCCACGCCUUACAUGAAUCUGCCUCCCAGCUCAUCACCUCCCAGUACCACCCCCAUGAGUCUGACGUGGAGAUAACCGCUCAGAGUCUGUCAAAUCUAACCCUGUGUGACGAUGCUUCUACUCCGAGCAUGCCGCAGACACACGUAGGAGAUCCAGUCCCAUUCAGCGACCUUUGUGUUGGAGAACUGGAGUCUGAGCGGGGUUCAAACCUGAGGAGUGCUGUUCCUAUCUCAGAGGAGAUACUGGAAGCUGCUAGUGAGAAGGGGAUCCUGGAGCAGUCGGAUAUAACGCUAGUGAGCCUGACCGACACCACGCUGCAGGACCAAGAGACAACCCUCACUGAUGAAGAGGGAGUUUGGGAAGACCAACAUCCAGAUGUGGUGGUGGAGGAAGGACAGAAAGGCCAAGAGGCAGAGGGGUCAGAAUCCACAUUGUUACAGGAUGAGACUCCACAGGACAAGGACCAAACAGAUCCAGCGAUGCUCCUGGAGUUUCAGUGGGGUCCUAUCAGAGGCUCGCAGGAGGUCGACCAGCAGAAGCGCAGAGCUCUGCUCCAGAGAUCAUCCCGCAGGGUGGAAGAAAUCAAGGCCAAACGGGCUCUUGCCAAGAUGCUACCUGAGAGCCGAGCUCCACCUGAAGCCAGAGAGCAGUCUGAAGCUAAGGGCUCUCAACCUGUCACCUGUAAGGGAAAGACAAAGUCAGAACCUCAACAUGAGAUUAAUACCAAGUCAAAAGGAGGACAGACUCAGCAGCAACAAACUACGGAGAAAUCUGGCUUCAUCAAGCAGAAAAAGGCCCAACUUCCCCCUCCAGUGAGCGAAUCCAGGCAGAAACGAGUGGACGAGAUGAAGAUCUGCACACCGGAGCAAAGGAAACUAGAUGUUACUGAGAUGCACCAGAGAACUCAGAGGCUGUACGAGCGGCUGGAGGAGGUGAAGCAUCAGAAGGCAAUCAGGAGCAGACAGGAGGCUUAUGCAAAAAACAGACUGAAGGCAAAGGAGUUCCACGUGAAAACGUUACAGAAACUUCGUGCCAAACAGACUCCGCAGUGACUUUGAAUGUGUUCUUCUACUUUUGUAAAAAAUGAAGUUAUUUCGUAGUUUAAUCAAUAAAGCAUUUUAAGUUAUUUGAAUCUAUUUUUUGCACUCCAUUUUGUUAAAUAUUAGCACUUCUGUUACAACAUUAUUAUAUAACAUUAACACAGACUUUCAGAUGAGUUUAUUUAAUAAGAAAACAUUCAUUAAGUCAUUUAAAGAUAUACAUAACCUUUUUUUUUUGUUUACAGAAAUGAGCUGUGAAAGUGAGGUCAGUUCAGAAUUAACUCAUCCAUUAUUAUAUAUCACAGUUUAAGAGGUCAACCUGAACUACGUUAUGAUUCUGGCUCCACACAUGGUUGAUUUAUUGUUCCAAAGUUAUCAAAAUGCUGUUUCAGAGGCCAAACAACGACAAUAAUACAGAUGGUGUUACGAUGUAGUUCCCGUUCCCACAGAAAGGCCACAAUGGAGAAAUAACAUGGCAUUUAUAUUUAUAGUUUUCAUUACACCAGAUAUUAAAGAGACGUUUCCCCUCAGUAUUAAUACUUCCAGCACAAAACAUAGUGACACACUUCAACUCAUUCACACAUUACUGAGACUCAGACAAUAUAAACAUCUAUAAUCAAAACAUAUUGAUUACUAUUAGACAAUCAGAGGGGGGGUGCACCGGUCCUGGAAGUACUGCAAUACCAGGUCGAUGCGUGGAGUGGACGGAGCAAGCCCCUAUUCCAUCUCCCAGUUCCAAAAAUCAAUUUAAUAUAUGGUCCCCGGGUAGGGGACGUAUCAGAUAUUAAACUGAUAAGAACAGAUACUACACUUGAUCUUAGCCAAAAGGCCGAGAAGCGAUACUGAACUACAGUCGGAGGUACGGAGCUCUUUCUCCGCACCGGGACCCUCACUGACGGUGUUAAUGAAUGCUUCACUAACAGAUAGAUAUAUGAUUCACUGUGUGUUAGAUAGAGAUAUUAAUAUAGAUAUAGAACACACAGUCAA
rnacentral:lncRNA from 15 species